AUUGAACGGUUUAAAUUGAAUCG
rnacentral:snRNA from 1 species